rnacentral:tRNA from 1 species
GCAUUGGUGUUUCAGUGGUAAAUUCUCGCCUCCCAAGCGGGAGACCCGGGGCCGAUUCCUGGCCAAUCCA